rnacentral:rRNA from 1 species
AUUGAACGCUGGCGGCAGGCCUAACACAUGCAAGUCGAAUGGUAACAGGAAACAGCUUGCUGUUUCGCUGACGAGUGGCGGACGGGUGAGUAAUGUCUGGGAAACUGCCUGAUGGAGGGGGAUAACUACUGGAAACGGUAGCUAAUACCGCAUAACGUCGCAAGACCAAAGAGGGGGACCUUCGGGCCUCUUGCCAUCAGAUGUGCCCAGAUGGGAUUAGCUAGUAGGUGGGGUAACGGCUCACCUAGGCGACGAUCCCUAGCUGGUCUGAGAGGAUGACCAGCCACACUGGAACUGAGACACGGUCCAGACUCCUACGGGAGGCAGCAGUGGGGAAUAUUGCACAAUGGGCGCAAGCCUGAUGCAGCCAUGCUGCGUGUAUGAAGAAGGCCUUCGGGUUGUAAAGUACUUUCAGCGGGGAGGAAGGGAGUAAAGUUAAUACCUUUGCUCAUUGACGUUACCCGCAGAAGAAGCACCGGCUAACUCCGUG